UACGUAGGCAGCAAGCGUUGUUCGGAGUUACUGGGCGUAAAGGGUGUGUAGGCGGUUCUUUAAGUUUGGUGUGAAAUCUCCCGGCUCAACUGGGAGGGUGCGCCGAAUACUGAGGGACUAGAGUUCGGGAGAGGGAAGCGGAAUUCCGGGUGUAGCGGUGAAAUGCGUAGAUAUCCGGAGGAACACCGGUGGCGAAGGCGGCUUCCUGGACCGACACUGACGCUGAGGCGCGAAAGCUAGGGGAGCAAACGGG
rnacentral:rRNA from 1 species